rnacentral:rRNA from 1 species
AUUGAACGCUGGCGGCAUGCCUUACACAUGCAAGUCGAACGGCAGCACGGACUUCGGUCUGGUGGCGAGUGGCGAACGGGUGAGUAAUGUAUCGGAACGUACCUUUCAGUGGGGGGAUAACGUAGCGAAAGUUACGCUAAUACCGCAUAUUCUGUGAGCAGGAAAGCAGGGGAUCGCAAGACCUUGCGCUGAUUGAGCGGCCGAUAUCAGAUUAGCUAGUUGGUGGGGUAAAGGCCUACCAAGGCUACGAUCUGUAGCGGGUCUGAGAGGAUGAUCCGCCACACUGGAACUGAGACACGGUCCAGACUCCUACGGGAGGCAGCAGUGGGGAAUUUUGGACAAUGGGGGCAACCCUGAUCCAGCCAUGCCGCGUGAGUGAAGAAGGCCUCGGGUUGUAAAGCUCUUCGGCCGGGAGAAAUACGCAUAGGCUAAUACCCUGUGUGGAUGACGGUACCGGAAUAAGAAGCACCGGCUAACU